rnacentral:rRNA from 1 species
AUUGAACGCUGGCGGCAUGCCUUACACAUGCAAGUCGAACGGCAGCACGGGGCAACCUGGUGGCGAGUGGCGAACGGGUGAGUAAUGCAUCGGAACGUACCUUUCAGUGGGGGAUAACGUAGCGAAAGUUACGCUAAUACCGCAUAUUCUGUGAGCAGGAAAGCAGGGGAUCGCAAGACCUUGCGCUGAUUGAGCGGCCGAUGUCAGAUUAGCUAGUUGGUGAGGUAAAGGCUCACCAAGGCGACGAUCUGGAGCGGGUCUGGGAGGAUGAUCCGCCACACUGGAACUGAGACACGGUCCAGACUCCUACGGGAGGCAGCAGUGGGGAAUUUUGGACAAUGGGGGCAACCCUGAUCCAGCCAUGCCGCUUGAGUGAAGAAGGCCUUCGGGUUGUAAAGCUCUUUCGGCCGGGAAGAAAUCGCACGGGCUAAUACCCUGUGUGGAUGACGGUACCGGAAUAAGAAGCACCGGCUAACUACGUGCCAGCCGCCGCGGUAAGAC